rnacentral:tRNA from 1 species
AAUAUUAUGCCUGAAUUUAAAGGAAUAAAUUGUAAAUUUAUUAAUGAAAUUAAGUUUUCUAAUAUUA